rnacentral:lncRNA from 1 species
ACACCCCUUCUUACACGCUCUUAGUUCUCACAUCCUAACAUCCAAAAGAGUUUGGACGUCCCACCAUCCAAUGCCCAAAAAGUUGGUUGGGCGUCCCCCUUUUCUCCAAGUCUGAUUUUUGGUGCUUGAUUUUUCUAAGAUCAAGAAAGAAAAAUCAAGAAGAAGAAGAAAAAGGAAGUUUAAGAGAAAGGAUCAAAGGUU